GACGAACGCUGGCGGUGUGCUUAACACAUGCAAGUGGUGCGACGAACCAGAGCUUGCUCUGGGGCAAAGCCGCAAACGGUUGGGUAACACGUGGUUAUUCUACCCCACUGACGGGAACAACCCGAGAAACCUCGGGUUACUACGGGAGGUGGUGCGGAGCAAUAAUUUUUUUCCCUAAAGGUGGUUUCGGCUUCGGCCUUGGAAGGGGCCCGCGGCCCAUUGGCUUUUUGGUGGGGUCAAGGCCUACCAAGGCAACGAUGGGUAGCUGGUCUGCGAGGACGAUCAGCCACACUGGGACUGAGACACGGCCCAGACUCCUACGGGAGGCAGCAGUGGGGAAUCUUGCGCAAUGCGCGAAAGCGUGACGCAGCAACACCGCGUGAGGGAAGAAGGCCUUAGGGUUGUAAACCUCUUUCAGAUGGGACGAAGGUUCUCCGGUGAAUAGCCGAGAGGAUUGACGGUACCGUCAGAAGAAGCUCCGGCUAACUACGUG
rnacentral:rRNA from 1 species